UGCAGUCGAGCGGUAACAUUUCUAGCUUGCUAGAAGAUGACGAGCGGCGGACGGGUGAGUAAUGCUUGGGAACAUGCCUUGAGGUGGGGGACAACAGUUGGAAACGACUGCUAAUACCGCAUAACGUCUACGGACCAAAGGAGGGGAUCUUCGGACCUUUCGCCUUUAGAUUGGCCCAAGUGAGAUUAGCUAGAUGGUAGGGUAAUGGCCUACCAUGGCGACGAUCUCUAGCUGGUUUGAGAGGAUGAUCAGCCACACUGGGACUGAGACACGGCCCAGACUCCUACGGGAGGCAGCAGUGGGGAAUAUUGCGCAAUGGGGGGAACCCUGAUGCAGCCAUGCCGCGUGUGUGAAGAAGGCCUUCGGGUUGUAAAGCACUUUCAGUCGUGAGGAAAGGGUUGUAGUUAAUACCUGCAAUCUGUGACGUUAGCGACAGAAGAAGCACCGGCUAACUCCGUGCCAGCAGCCGCGGUAAUACGGAGGGUGCGAGCGUUAAUCGGAAUUACUGGGCGUAAAGCGUGCGUAGGCGGAUGAUUAAGCGAGAUGUGAAAUCCCGGGGCUCAACCUCGGAACUGCAUUUCGAACUGGUCAUCUAGAGUACUGUAGAGGGUGGUGGAAUUUCCAGUGUAGCGGUGAAAUGCGUAGAGAUUGGAAGGAACAUCAGUGGCGAAGGCGGCCACCUGGACAGAUACUGACGCUGAGGCACGAAAGCGUGGGGAGCAGACAGGAUUAGAUACCCUGGUAGUCCACGCCGUAAACGAUGUCAACUAGCUGUUUGUGUCCUUGAGACGUGAGUAGCGUAGCUACGCGCUAAGUUGACCGCCUGGGGAGUACGGCCGCAAGGUUAAAACUCAAAUGAAUUGACGGGGGCCCGCACAAGCGGUGGAGCAUGUGGUUUAAUUUCGAUGCACGCGAAGAACCUUACCAUCCCUUGACAUCCAGAGAAUUUCUAGAGAUAG
rnacentral:rRNA from 1 species